rnacentral:rRNA from 5 species
GCCUGGCGGCUGUAGCGCGGUGGUCCCACCUGACCCCAUGCCGAACUCAGAAGUGAAACGCCGUAGCGCCGAUGGUAGUGUGGGGCCUCCCCAUGCGAGAGUAGGGAACUGCCAGGCAU